ensembl:lncRNA
GUCCACUGAGACAACAGCCACUGUCUGGAUCACACUAUGAGGAAUAUGUGCUGAGAGAGCCACGCAAGCCAAUGCCAACAUCAAAGAAACAGCAAGUGUUCUGGAAACAAAAACAAACACUACCUGGCAGAACCUGAAAGACACACUGGGAAACAAGGAGACAAAGGGAGGUGUUACAGAGAAUUGCUCUUGGAGAACAGACCCCAUUUGUUUCAUCUGUAUCAGAGAGACCUGGGUUCUGAUUACACUGCCUUUGUGGAGAAGCAGAGUACUCCCAUUGUGAUUGGAUGGGACGGACGGACCAUGGUGUAUACAUUGUAAAUGCCUGCUGACUCAAACAUUGUGUAAUGGCAAUUUUGUUCGAUGUAUUUGCUUGCUUUGUCUUUACAGUGUUGGUUAACAUAGAUAAGACUGGACAGCUUGAAAGGUGAAGCAUAAAAUGAUUAACGUCUUGUUUUGCUAAGGUGUCGAACCUGGAAUGUAAAAAUGUAAAUAAAGGAACAACCAUCCACUAGCACGUUGGAUUAAAAUGUACAUUACUCAGAUACAAUGGUUAGUAAUUUCAAAUUCACCCUUAUAUUUGCAAGAUUGUGUAGAAAAAACAUCUUACCAGUAACGGGGGCUGAGAGAGCAAGACCAGCCAAAGCCAAGAUCAAAGGCACAAUCAAUUUUCUGUUAGAAUAAAGAACACAACAAAGCAACUACUGAAUUUUAACAAUUAUAGUUUACUCAAACAGAGGUAAAGACUCAUGAAAGGCACCAGAUUGUUGU